GCAUAUCAAUAAGCGGAGGAAAAGAAAAUAACAAUGAUUCCCCUAGUAACUGCGAGUGAAGAGGGAUAAGCUCAAAUUUUAAAUCUGUUAGGUUUUUGCCUGACCGAAUUGUGAUUUGAAGAUCGCGUUUUCUUAAUAACUUCGAUUUAGCCUAAAUCUUUUGGGAUAAAGUAUCAUGGAGGGUGAGAAUCCCGUGUGGUUAAAUCGAUUCUUUACGAUACGCUUUCAAAGAGUCAGGUUGUUUGGGAAUGCAGCUUAAAAUGGGAGGUAAAUUUCUCCUAAGGCUAAAUAUUGGCGAGAGACCGAUAGCGAACAAGUACCGUGAGGGAAAGAUGAAAAGAAUUUUGAAAAGAAAGUCAAAUAGUACGUGAAAUUGUUGAAAGGGAAGCGAUUGAAGCCAGUCGUACCCGCGAGAAAUCAACCUUUCGAGGGCGAUCCCGUGGAUGUUUGGGAGCCUUAACGGUCCCUACGUUUUCGGGUUUGUUCUCUUUUGGCGUAAUUUCUUGCGCGGUAGGUUAACAUCAAUUUCGGACGUCAUAAAAUGAUCGGAGGAAUGUGGCUUCGAUUUUUCGAAGUGUUUAUAGCCUUCGGUAGAUACGACGAACGGGAUUGAGGAUUGCAACGAAUACCUUUUAGGCUAUUCGUCUGAUCUCUAAUCGUUGCCUUGGUACCGAAAGCGUGCUUAUGGUCAUUGAGGUUGAUGGUUAAAAGGUUAGAACGAAUUACAUUCGUUAGGGAUGUUGACGUAAUGGCUUUAAACGAC
rnacentral:rRNA from 1 species